UACGAAGGGGGCUAGCGUUGUUCGGAUUUACUGGGCGUAAAGGGCGCGUAGGCGGCGCAACAAGUCACUUGUGAAAUCUCCGGGCUUAACCCGGAGCGGUCAAGUGAUACUGUCGUGCUAGAGUGCGGAAGGGGCUACUGGAAUUCUCGGUGUAGCGGUGAAAUGCGUAGAUAUGUGGAGGAACACCUGUGGCGAAGGCGCCUUGCUGGCCAAUUUCUGACGCUGAGGCG
rnacentral:rRNA from 1 species